rnacentral:rRNA from 1 species
CCUACGGGAGGCUGCAGUGGGGAAUAUUGGACAAUGGGCGAAAGCCUGAUCCAGCCAUGCCGCGUGUGUGAAGAAGGCCUUCGGGUUGUAAAGCACUUUCAGUGGGGAAGAAAGCCUUGGGGCUAAUACCCUCGAGGAAGGACAUCACCCACAGAAGAAGCACCGGCUAACUCCGUGCCAGCAGCCGCGGUAAUACGGAGGGUGCGAGCGUUAAUCGGAAUUACUGGGCGUAAAGCGCGCGUAGGCGGUCUGAUAAGCCGGUUGUGAAAGCCCCGGGCUCAACCUGGGAACGGCAUUCGGAACUGUAAGGCUAGAGUGCAGGAGAGGAAGGUAGAAUUCCCGGUGUAGCGGUGAAAUGCGUAGAGAUCGGGAGGAAUACCAGUGGCGAAGGCGGCCUUCUGGACUGACACUGACGCUGAGGUGCGAAAGCGUGGGUAGCAAACAGGAUUAGAUACCCUAGUAGUC